CUUUAUUGCACAUGGUAAACAUGCAAACAGGAAAUUAUCCUAAAAGGAAUCACUGAGAGAUGGCAGUUCAAAUUUUCUCCAAGGUAGUUGUGUUUGAAAAAGACUCUUUCCUCAGACCUAAUGUUCUUAGGUAUUAAUAUCCUGCUCUACCUAACAACAUCCAGGACUUUCUUUCCUUUGUAUCUUGUUUGCCUGAGCAACACUCUGCAAACCUUCCUUCUGGAUCUGCCUGCUGGUUUUACCCCCCAG
rnacentral:lncRNA from 1 species